GAUGAAGAACGCAGCGAAAUGCGAUAAGUAAUGUGAAUUGCAGAAUUCCGUGAAUCAUCGAAUCUUUGAACGCACAUUGCGCCCAUCAGUACUCUGGUGGGCAUGCCUGUUCGAGCGUCAUUUCAACCCUCAGGCCCUGUACUGCCUGGCGUUGGGGCUUCUGCGAGUGCCAACUAUAGCUCUCGCAGGCCCCCAAGAUCAGUGGCGGGCCCGCCGCGGCUCCGAGCGUAGUAGUUUACUUUCUCGCUUGGGAGGCUCGGCGGUUUCCAGCCGUCAAAAAUCAUUUCUUACAAAAGGUUGACCUCGGAUCAGGUAGGGAUACCCGCUGAACUUAAGCAUAUCAAUAAGCGGAGGA
rnacentral:misc_RNA from 1 species